GGGCUAUGGAAGGCAGGCCUGCCCUUGAAGAUUAAAAUCUUCAUGUGGCAAAUGUUUAGGAAUAGGUUGCCUACUUCGGAUAAUGUGGCCAAGCGAAACGGUCCGGCUGAUGGCUCUUGCACUGUGUGCAGCCUAGGUGAAGAUGCUAAUCACGUCUUCUUUAGAUGUCACCUGGCCAAGUUCGCGUGGAGCGCAGUAAGGGAAGCGUUCCACUCGAAUUGGAACCCAGCCUCGGGUGCUGAUCUGAUCACCACCCUCAAAUCUCUGAAAGGGACUAGCGGUAGAAUCGCUUGGCGAUGCGUAGGGGCGUUGCUGUGGGCUCUUUGGACGACACGGAAUAAAAUUACGAUUGAGAAGAAAUUCCCUAAUCACCCCGCUGAUGUGAUCUUCAAACGCCACUUAUUUUUACCGACGUAG
rnacentral:rRNA from 1 species